GAUGAACGCUGGCGGCGUGCCUAAUACAUGCAAGUCGAGCGAACGGACGAGAAGCUUGCUUCUCUGAUGUUAGCGGCGGACGGGUGAGUAACACGUGGAUAACCUACCUAUAAGACUGGGAUAACUUCGGGAAACCGGAGCUAAUACCGGAUGAUAUUUUGAACCGCAUGGUUCAAAAGUGAAAGACGGUCUUGCUGUCACUUAUAGAUGGAUCCGCGCUGCAUUAGCUAGUUGGUAAGGUAACGGCUUACCAAGGCAACGAUGCAUAGCCGACCUGAGAGGGUGAUCGGCCACACUGGAACUGAGACACGGUCCAGACUCCUACGGGAGGCAGCAGUAGGGAAUCUUCCGCAAUGGGCGAAAGCCUGACGGAGCAACGCCGCGUGAGUGAUGAAGGUCUUCGGAUCGUAAAACUCUGUUAUUAGGGAAGAACAUAUGUGUAAGUAACUGUGCACAUCUUGACGUUUCCUAAUCAGAAAGCCACGGCUAACUACGUG
rnacentral:rRNA from 1 species